AAAGCAUGGUGAGGGCAUUUCAUAAGUAUUUUUUUAAAAACUCUCAACUCUCAUAAAUUGAUUCUCCAUGAAACUGGGUGAAAUAAGUGAUAUCAUUUAUAAGUUU